CCAUCAAGAUCGAUUCCCUCGUGUGUGUGAACGCAGUGACGUACGCCAUCCACCACGCCGUCUCUGCCCCCUCCCCACCCCCACUCAUCAUCCUUCGCAGAGUAUAUUUAGCAUCUAGACUGCCACGUCACGAAGGAAAGGCGAUUCAGCUCGUCCGUGCAGCCUUUGUGUUCUUUUUUUUAGGACGUAGUGCAGCCAAUAUAUGGUCUAGCGUGGGUGCUUCCCUUACGAGCUUACAUGUUGUUCUUCCGCCUGAACCUCAUAUUAACACCUACACAUUGCUUCUACUGUGUUCCCCCUUCCUGCUGUAGCUCGUAGUAGCCUCCUUCCCCCCCCCUCUCCAUUCACUUACGCCAUGCUCCGUCGAUCCGCUGAUCGGUACAUGAAACCGUUUUUGCAUGCAUUCUCCCCUGGUGCGCGUGCGUCCGAGAAAGGAAUGCUGUACCGCAACAGCUAUAUGAACGCGCACGCCCAGGUCGCCUCGAUCCAGAGUACGCACCGGACGCGAAGAGAGCGGACAAUCUUCUUGUUGCUGCUGCUGCCCGAUCAAGUGUUUAUGUGCGUCAUAGUCUUUGCCACUGGUUGUGUGGCGGUGGCGGUUUUGUUCCGCCAGCAGCCUUUCAGCACCAACUUAAACAAAGACCGCUGGCUUUCCGGUGGCAUGAACCCACAUGAGCAGUACGAGCGCAACGCCACCAUGUCGCAGAUCUUCGAGAUGCACAAGGAGGCCAUCGACAACACGCGCGCUGAGCUUACGCGGCCACAGGUCUUUAGCGCACCCAGUGGCUAUCAUAGCCCCUCCGGCGUGUACGCCCCCUAAGGGAAGGGAGUCGUAAAGACAUGUAAUGAAAAAGACGGGGUAGCGGUAACGAACUAGCGGGGUGCGCUUCUGGGGGCGUCGACGCUCCCCUGACCCCUUACCCUCUCCCCUUCCCCCUUCGCUCCUCUGCUUCCCGUGCCUUUGGUGAUGUGCGCUGGGGCGGGCCUCCCCUUUUGCCUUUGCUGUUUGUUUUCCUGUGUGUGAGUAUGUAGAUGUGGGUGGGGGUGGGUGAGUCAUGCGUCGAUUCUUCGCCGCUCUCUGCCUUAUGUUGUAGCGAGGAGAGUAUGUGUGUCUUCGUGCACGUGUCUUUUAGGUUAUGUGGUCUCACCUAGAUGCCUUCUUGUGUGUUGAGUCCCGUGCUGAGGUGGAGAACAGCGUGGCACACCAUUGUAGGUGAGCGUCAUUUAACGAAGUUAGGGCGAUGGGGUGAGGGGAGGGGAGAACCCGUGCGUUGUCGGCGCCCUUCCCCUUUCGCUCCCUCCUUCGGUGUGUUCUUGGACUCGUCUUGUUCUUCUUUGCUUCUUCCUCGUUUUCCUCACAGCGUAUGGCUGCGUGAUGACAGAAUGGGCAAGUCCAUGUUACCGCGUCGCGCUUCUUCGGCAGUGGAAGCAGCAACAGAAACAGGGGGGGGGGCAAGCGAAUGGGGCCACCUGCGCGAGUCGUCUACCGCGACAGCUCGACGUUGUCGGCUACGUGCACAGUGGAGGAAGCUGGAAAAGCAACCUCUCGAGCUGCUUCCUGUUUUGCCGAACUCUCUUUCCUCCUCCCUCGCCGUCUCCGCCUCCAUGUUUACCACCCACUGCAGAAGGAAUGCGUGUAUCAGGAAAAAAAAAACAGAAAACUGCUUGACCGUGGCGAAUGAACGUGCGCACGGCCUCUUGUUGCCCUGCCCCACAUUCUCACGUUGCCGUUCUCAUCUCUACGGGGGUGGGGGGAAGGGAUGAAGAAGUGUUAACUCCAAUUCCAGGGCUGCGUGGUGUACGCCUCCUCCAGCACCCUCCGUCGCCCCCACCACCACCAGCACUGGGUCUACUCUCCUAUCACCACCACCACCACUUCCGUACCUCUGCCCGCACUUCAUAUUUGACGUGCUGGUCCUCCUUUUUCCUACUGCUCUUGUUGAUCUUUCUACAUCAUGUGCGCGUGGCCACUCGCCCGCCAG
rnacentral:misc_RNA from 1 species